rnacentral:rRNA from 1 species
AUUGAACGCUGGCGGCAUGCUUUACACAUGCAAGUCGAACGGUAACAGGCCGCAAGGUGCUGACGAGUGGCGAACGGGUGAGUAAUGCAUCGGAACGUGCCCAGUCGUGGGGGAUAACUACUCGAAGGAGUAGCUAAUACCGCAUACGAUCUAUGGAUGAAAGCGGGGGACCGGAAGGCCUCGCGCGAUUGGAGCGGCCGAUGUCAGAUUAGGUAGUUGGUGGGGUAAAGGCUCACCAAGCCAACGAUCUGUAGCUGGUCUGAGAGGACGACCAGCCACACUGGGACUGAGACACGGCCCAGACUCCUACGGGAGGCAGCAGUGGGGAAUUUUGGACAAUGGGCGCAAGCCUGAUCCAGCAAUGCCGCGUGCAGGAAGAAGGCCUUCGGGUUGUAAACUGCUUUUGUACGGAACGAAACGGCUCUGGUUAAUACCCGGGGCUAAUGACGGUACCGUAAGAAUAAGCACCGGCUAACUACGUG